rnacentral:rRNA from 1 species
AAUCAACGCUGGCGGCGUGCCUCAGACAUGCAAGUCGAACGAUUAAACUCGCCUUCGGGUGAGAUAUAAAGUGGCGCACGGGUGAGUAACACGUAGGUAAUGUACCUUUGGGUGGGGAAUAACUUAGGGAAACUUAAGCUAAUACCGCAUAAUGCAGCGGCUCCUUCGGGAGACAGUUGUUAAAGAUUUAUCGCCUAAAGAGCAGCCUGCGGCAGAUUAGCUAGUUGGAAGGUAACGGCUUACCAAGGCUACGAUCUGUAUCCGACCUGAGAGGGGUGGGUCGGACACACUGACACUGAAUAACGGGUCAGACUCCUACGGGAGGCAGCAGUCGGGAAUUUUGGGCAAUGGGCGAAAGCCUGACCCAGCAACGCCGCGUGAAGGAUGAAGUCUUUCGGGAUGU